CGGUGCUGGAGGCUUUUGCCCCAGCCAGCAGAUUCACUGUUUGACUGUGGUAAAAAGCAGAAAGCCCCGAGUAAUUUUUUCAAAUUAACCCGAGGCCCCUGUAUGCUAGUCACAUUCAGAGUAGCCUCUUACCCGCUUAAAUGCAAGGAGAAGAAGGCCAUG
rnacentral:antisense_RNA from 21 species